rnacentral:rRNA from 1 species
UACAGAGGGGGCAAGCGUUGUUCGGAUUUACUGGGCGUAAAGCGCGCGUAGGCGGGUCUUUAAGUCAGGGGUGAAAUCCUGGAGCUCAACGUCCAGAACUGCCUUUGAUACUGAAGAUCUUGAGUUCGGGAGAGGUGAGUGGAACUGCGAGUGUAGAGGUGAAAUUCGUAGAUAUUGCAAGAACACCAGUGGCGAAGGCGGCUCACUGGCCCGAUACUGACGCUGAGGCACGAAAGCGAUGGGGAGCAAAGCAGG